rnacentral:lncRNA from 1 species
AUGGCAUCCUCAAUAGUAGUAGCCAAAGCCAGAGCCAUAGCCAGAGCCACAUCCAUAGCCACAGCCAUAGAGAGAGCGGGAGCCAUAGCCGUAGCCACAGCCAUAGCCACAGCCCAGCCUGCGGAAGCCAGAGCCGUAGCAGGAGCCAUAGCCACAGCCCAGGCCUCCAUAGCCAUAGCCACAGCCAUAGCCACAGCCCAGCCUGCGGAAGCCAGAGCCGUAGCAGGAGCCAUAGCCACAGCCCAGCCUGCGGAAGCCAGAACCGUAGCCACAGCCAUAGCCAUAGCCCAGGCCUCCAUAGCCAUAGCUUCCACAGCCGAGGCCGCCAUAGUAGUUUCCGUAGUAGCCACACAUGGUGUUGGUUGUUGAGGUUGUUCUCGGGUAGAGAAGGAGAGUAAAAGUGUCACUUGAGUGUGGACAUUUCUCCCUGCAGAGGGCCUUUUAUAUGCCCUCAGUGUGGGUGUGACCCACCACACCUUCAUGCCAUUGGCUAACUUUAUGACUGAUCCAAUUAGUUUGUUGCUCACAACCAUAGCAUGAAACAACAGGGAAAUUCAGCAGGCCUGUUGUGCUCACAUCCCAGCU